GCCGGGGCCUGGAGCCUGCCUGCCCCCUCCCCUCCGGCUUUCGAACAGCCCUUCCUCCCCGAGCCCAACGGCGGCUCUGUAGCCGGCACCCAGCAGCUCAGUCAGACAAAGGAAAGAUCUUCAGGCUAAGAACGACAAGAAUUGAACACUACAGACCAAAGUGCUUAUGAAAUUUAAAGAUAAAGGAAAAAGUCCAGGGGAAAAAGAGAAAAGAAAGGAAGAGCCGCAGAAAGAUUCUCUAGAAUACAGCCACCUUGGAAGACAGAGCUCCUCCUCAGUGAGAGGGAGUCAGCUUUGGAACUGGAGUUUUCUCGAGAAAGAAAAGCCAUACAGAAAAGUAAUACUGACUGGGACUGAACCAUCUUUUCCACAUAGUAUUGGCAAAACCAUAAUAAGCCUGGCUAUUCCUUGGCUUAUUCCAACAACUGUAGUGGAUCUAAUGGAGAUAUUUUAGAGAACUUCAAUGAUGGGAGCUGGAGAAAGCAGUGUGUUUAUAGAUAAACACUGCUAUAUGAGGAAAAAAAUCUUAUUGUGAAUAUUACACAGAUUAGAUAAUAGUAAUAUGUUUUAAAAAUAAGUCACUUGAUUUAGAUAAAUGAUCUAAAUAUUAUUCACCUAAUCAGAAACAUUUUUAGCAACAAUUCUACAAAAUUUUUGUGUGUGUAAUUCAACACAUAAAACCACAUCAUCCAUAUGUAACUGACAGUGAGUCAUCUCUUGAAGCAUAAGAAAUGGGGACCUAAGUAAAAGCAUAAUACAGCACACAAUAUGUAGUAACUGAAGGGCAGAGACAAUGUUGCAUUAGUUUUAGGACUACUGCUUUAUGCCUCUGUCACCUUUAGAGGGACGGUUCCCUGGACAAGAUAGGAAAAAAAAGUUUUAGAAAUGUUUUGUCUUAGAGACCUGAACUUAUAAGGGCGAGUUUCUAUGGAGGGGGGGGGAGAGGGGAAGACUUUUGCAAGAUCUGUAAUACUGGGGCCAGUCAGAUGUUCACAAUAUAUUGCUCACCAAGAAACUGAGCCCGAGAAUUAUUAAGGUUUUUUUGGUGAAUAACUUUGAAUAAUUAAUUCUUCUGAGAAAACCACAAUCUGUUCACAGAGAGUUCAUGAAGAAAAAAAAAAAAAAAAAAAAAGAAAAGAAACCAAGGUGAAUAAUUCAUUAUGAAUUAUUUGACCUGUUUUAGCAAUGAGAUUCUAAAUCUGUCCUCUUAUGGAUAUUAACCUCAUUAAUACUAUUUAGAUACAAGACUUCGGGAUAAUUAAGAUGAUGCAAUACUGUCUAUCUAAUAUGACACUAUUAAUAUUUUUGUAAAUACUUUGAAAAUAAUGCUUUAUUUAUUGUAUUUUUUUAAAUCCUUGUGUAUAAAUUUAGAAGAACUGGCCAUCUUAGAAUAAUUAAUGCAAUAAUAGGACAUUCUUAUAUGAGAAGGAAGCCUUGAUGACAGAGAGAUCUAAAUGUUUAAAAUCUGCUUAGGUCUACUGCUAUAACACAUAGCUGAGUGACCAAUUCGCCUAUCAUUUGUGAAUUCUAGGGAAUUUGAGAGAAUGUCUAAUCCUGAACUGAGAAACAGAAUUUCCAGGGAUGGGAGAGAAAUCAGGUUUGACUCUUAAUAUUUAAAAGUACAAACUGUAAUAAACAUACAACAAUUUCCGUACAAUAACUGAAUAAUGUUAGCAGACUGAUUUCAGACUGUUCCAUUAUGUCAUCCAGGAAUAACACAAGAACUAGUCAUUUAACUGCUUAAUGCACUGUUUCUGUUUAAAUAUGAACACAGUAUUUUAAGUAAAAGCUAAUAUUUUCUAAUAAUUCCUACCAAUACCUGACCAACUAUCCAAUAUCAUUAGGUAAAGCUGCAGUUUCAUGACACUUUGAACUGCUCCAAAUCAGAGCUGCUAGGGUGUUUUCUGCCAAGUGCUUCAGCCUACACCCUUGCAUCAGCAGUAGUGUUUGGAUGAUGCCAUUCUCUCCCACCUUCCCACAGAGGUGAGCUGUUUCACGGCAGAAUAGCUGCAGCCUGACAAUACAGUUAGGCUCGUCCAAAAAAACAAAAAAGAAAAAAAAAAACAUAAACAAGAGAGAAAAGGAAGCCCAUACCUAAAGAGAUAAUCUUGCUUUUUUUUUUUUUUUUUUUUUUUUUUUUUUUUCCUCAAACUAGUUGCAUGCUUCCCUGAUAUUGGUAUUAAUCUGAUCCUGUGGGGAAGCUGAUCUUACAAAAUAUACUUUCCUGGGUUAGCAGCAGGCCAUUGAGAUGCAAUAGAUUCACUUUAAAGUCAGAUGAAUGAAGGUGCCAGUACAAAUGCUGGAGAAGAGCACAGCAAAGAAAGCUCAAGGGAAAGCAGUGGUAACAUAUGGCCAAAAGUAGGGUUUGCAGCAAUCAACAUUUAGAUUGGCUUCGGCUCCAGUGGAACCACAGCCUUAGAUUUACUGUAAAUAAGAUCUAAUUCUGAAGGAACUUCUUCAAAACAAACAUAAGGCAAGUCAUUCCAUACUCCUUUCCCAAAGAAAAAUCAAUUACAGUAAUAGCAAUAGUAACUUAUUUCACCUAAAGUGUUUUCAGCCACUUGGCAUACAACAUGUGAGCCUACCAGCUAACUACAUUCGGUGCUUAACUAAGUUAAGCAAUGUAAGAUUUAAUCUGUCCCUGAAAUAAAUAUUUUAAAAACAAACAAUUCCAAGUUCAAUGCAAUGUAUUGUAAAAAACAUUUUCUUGUUCACUAUGUGCAAAUAUACAUCACUCUAUUUGGAAUGUCAGUAGAAGUCUUUUGAAAUAAUAGCUUUUAUGGAAGAAAUUUUCCAUGUAAAUAAUUCUGAAUGUACUCUUCUUUUGGGUUUCUGCUGUAUGUUAAGCACUGCAGUCUUUAUAUUAUGAAGCUAUUUACUACAUAGUAUCUGUAUACUCUGAAUGUUUUU
rnacentral:lncRNA from 1 species